CCUACGGGGUGCUGCAGUGGGGGAUAUUGCACAAUGGGGGAAACCCUGAUGCAGCGACGCCGCGUGUGGGAAGACGGUCCUCUGGAUUGUAAACCACUGUCCCCAGGGACGAAGAUGACGGUACCUGGGCAGGAAGCUCCGGCUAACUACGUGCCAGCAGCCGCGGUAAUACGUAGGGAGCGAGCGUUGUCCGGAAUUACGGGGUGUAAAGGGAUCGUAGGCGGGGAUGCAGGUUGGGUGUCAAAACUACCGGCUAAACUGGUAGUCGCACUCAAAACUGCAGGUCUUGAGUGAAGUAGAGGCAGGCGGAAUGCCUAGUGUAGCGGUGAAAUGCGUAGAUAUUAGGAGGAACACCGGUGGCGAAGGCGGCCUGCUGGGCUUUUACUGACGCUGAGGCUCGAAAGUGUGGGGAGCAAACAGGAUUAGAUACCCGGGUAGUC
rnacentral:rRNA from 1 species